UAAUAUCCCAACAAAUAUCACAGGAAGGUCUGUGGUUAAGGGAUCAGUCAAGAAAGAAGAGCCAUGAUCAGGCAGAGUGGGGAAGCUCCCUGAGAAUGGAGAAUCACAGAAGCCAAGGACGAGUGUUCACCGAGGAGAGUUUGAUCAACUAUGUCAAAUGCUACAGAGUGGCUAAGUAAGAUAAAGUCUGAAAAGUGUUCAUCUGACCCGGUGUAAUUUCAAGCCAAGAAGACAAGCCUUGAUCCAAAAGUAGUGUCUCAGCAGAGUUUUGAUUCACUCUAGACUAGAGCUCACCAGCUUUUUACAAUAGCAACCAAUUCUUCACAUUUCUUAUUAUUCUCAGAUGAAAUAUACCACUCAGUCACAGAGAUCCAAGUGUCUUCAGCUUCAAUGUAUUAAGGACAAAUCUGAAAACGGAACUUUCCUAAACAAAAAGGGCUUGGAGUAUUUUUGUUUUUCUUCCUCUAUCAAGUAGUGAGCCAAUACUCGGGCAGCCUUUACUCAGGAAUGUAAGAAAUUCAUGCUCUCUUCAGGGUGCGGUAUUCCAGACAGCUUUCCUGCUGUGUGUCCUUGAAGUGAAGGUCAAACAGAGUUCACGGGAAAUGUAAAUUAAACAAGUGUUUCUACAUUAGCAUUUGUUUUAUUCCAGAAAUAUCCAUUUUUAAUGAAGAAAAUGUCUCUUCAACUUUGCUUUUAAAAGAUAUUGUGGACAAUUUUAUUAUUCACUUUGAUGUGAUCUUUGAUUUAGAGUUGUAUAAGACAUACUCAGUAUUAUUUGCGAUAUCUCAAUUGGAAAAAUAAAAUGUGAUCGUCCCAGAAGUUUCAAAGCUUGCCAUAAAUAUCUCCCCAUCAUUUAGCUAAUUUUGAAGACUUAAAAUGUAUAAGCGGUCUCUACACAAUUGCACAUCAGUUCAAGCAACUGCAUUAGCACAGGAGUGCCGAGUCGUUCCAAAGAGAGAAGAGUGAGCCAAUAGCUACAGCUGGCAGCCAGGGAAGGGAAAAUGUGCUCUGAGCACUCAGUGAGUCACCCAAACAGACAGGAGGAAGCAUGUGCCAAUUGAGCCUGGAGGCUGCGCCAGAGCUCACACACUCAGCAAGGUCAGGAUUUGAAUAGAAGCUCUCUCACUCUUUCCACCGCCAGACUGUACCAAAUAAUGACUACUCCUGAAGCCUGGGUUCCAGCAGGAGAAGACACAUGGAGUGGAGCUGGGCAGAUGUCCAGCAGCCAUAGCCAACUCAUAGCCAAAGACCAC